CCUACGGGUGGCAGCAGUAGGGAAUAUUGCUCAAUGGGGGAAACCCUGAAGCAGCAACGCCGCGUGGAGGAUGAAGGUUUUCGGAUUGGUAACUCCUUUUGUUAUAGAAGUUAAUUACGGUAUGUAACGGAUAAGCACCGGCUAACUCCGUGCCAGCAGCCGCGGUAAUACGGAGGGUGCAACCGUUACUCGGAGUCACUGGGCGUAAAGAGCGCGUAGGCGGGAUAGCAAGUCAGAUGUGAAAUUCUUUGGCUUAACCGUAGAACUGCAUUUGAAACUGUCAGUCUUGAGUAUGGGAGAGGUAGGUGGAAUUCGUGGUGUAGCGGUAAAAUCCGUAGAGAUCAAGAAGAAUUCUCAUUGCGAAGGCGGCCUGCUAGAACAUAACUGACGCUGAGGCGCGAAAGCGUGGGGAGCAAACAGGAUUAGAUACCCUUGUAGUC
rnacentral:rRNA from 1 species